rnacentral:rRNA from 2 species
CCGAAGCCGGUGGCUUAACCCCUUGUGGGAGGGAGCCGUCGAAGGUGGGAUCGGCGAUUGGGACGAAGUCGUAACAAGGUAGCCGUACCGGAAGGUGCGGCUGGAUCACCUCCUUUCUAAGGAG